CCGUCGGAGCGCUUGAGCCAGAAAGCAGGAUCCCUAGCGCCGGGAUCGCGCAGAGCAAACUUGAGAGGGGCCGUUGGUACCCAGGCUCACACCCUAGGGCCCUGAAGCCGUGUUAAGGCCGCUUCAAAAGGCGCCUUCCUUGCUCUCACCCGCCAUGGAUGGGCCGAGAGCGUUUUAUUUCCUCUUAUAUUUGCAGUGGAACAAUCCUGAGGCUCACCUUGUCUCUGGUGCUCCGGCUGAACCUGGGGUUCGGACAAGGCGCUAAUUAAGCACGUUGGGAACGGAGGGAGCGCUCACCCUGGCGCCGCCGCCCGGUUUCCAGCGAGAGGACUCGAGGGCACGCGAUUCCCCUUCGACUGCAGGAUGAAGCUGAUUCCCUCAAGAUAUUUCCCCGUUUCGACAAUGAAAGGAAUCAUUUCGUGGCAGGGGCAGACCGUGCAAAACGCAGUACCGCGCGCGCAGGGCUUCCACGCAUCUCCAGGGCCUCGGUUUCAACUUCCUGGGUCUAGACGUCCUACCCGAAUUGCCCACAGCACCCGGCCAGGGAGGAGAGGAGGGCAUUGUUACAUUGGUCAUUAAAAACCAGCUCACGCCGAGGAGCUAGUGGUGGGGAAUUGGCCCGUGUUGGACGUGUGUUAUGUAUCACUUACAAGCACAUUUAAUUGGGAGAUAAAGAUAAAUCGAUCUUUAUGAAUUUAUCGA